rnacentral:rRNA from 1 species
CAGCAGCCGCGGGAAUACAGAGGGUGCAAGCGUUAAUCGGAAUUACUGGGCGUAAAGCGCGCGUAGGUGGUUUGUUAAGUUGGAUGUGAAAUCCCCGGGCUCAACCUGGGAACUGCAUCCAAAACUGGCAAGCUAGAGUAUGGUAGAGGGUGGUGGAAUUUCCUGUGUAGCGGUGAAAUGCGUAGAUAUAGGAAGGAACACCAGUGGCAAAGGCGACCACCUGGACUGAUACUGACACUGAGGUGCGAAAGCGUGGGGAGCAAACAGGAUUAGAUACCCGCGUAGUCCCUGUCUCUUAUAC